CACAAGGCGGUGGAGCACGUGGUUUAAUUCGAUGACAAACCGAAGAACCUUACCUUGGGUUGACAUGUACGUGGUACGGAUAUGAAAGUUGAAGGACUCCGCUUUCGGGUGGAGAGCGUACACAGGUGCUGCAUGGCUGUCGUCAGCUCGUGUCGUGAGGUGUUGGGUUAAGUCCCGCAACGAGCGCAACCCUGCAUUCAGUUGCCAUCGGGUGAAGCCGGGCACUCUGGAAGGACUGCCAUCGACAAGAUGGAGGAAGGUGGGGACGACGUCAAGUCAUCAUGGCCCUUAUGUCCAGGGCGACACACGUGCUACAAUGGCCGGCACAACGGGAAGCGAGUUCGCGAGGACGAGCGGAUCCCUUAAAGCCGGUCGCAGUUCGGAUCGGAGUCUGCAACCCGACUCCGUGAAGCUGGAUUCGCUAGUAAUCGCGCAUCAGCCACGGCGCGGUGAAUACGUUCCCGGGCCUU
rnacentral:rRNA from 1 species